CAAAUGUUUAGAAGGUUUUGAGGGGAAUCCUUACCUUUCAAAUGAAAAGGGUUGCCAAGGUACACUUCACGUUAAUUUAUUUUUUCUUUCUAUCGUCUUUCAACGGUUUAGUCGUACAUUUCUUGUUUCAUCCAACGGAUUAUUUACCUGUGUCAGACAUCAAUGAAUGUAUUAGUACUAUCCAUAAACAUAACUGCUCGGAUCCCAGCACCUGUAGAAACAAGGAUGGAGGCUUCUAUUGUAAAUGCAGAUCUGGUUACCGCUUAGAUACAAACACUAUGAGUUGCAAGCGUAAAGACUUUGGAUGGGCUGCAAUUCUUCUUGGUAAGCUUCCCUCUGGACUUUGGAUGACCGGUCAUGUCCCCUCACUUGUCCAGGAUUGGUUCUUUAUUGAAAAAAAAAAAAAAACUUAAUCUAAUCAUCUAUGUGGAUGUGGUCAGGAACAACCAUCGGCUUCUUGUCCAUCAUGCCUGCCGUUAGCUGUGUACGACAGAAAAUGAAGCACCGGAAAGACAGUCAGCUCCGACAAAAAUUCUUCGUACAAAAUGGUGGCGGCUUGUUAGUACAGAGACUCUCAGGAGAAGAGACAUGAAAUUCUAAUAUAAAAAUAUUCACUGAAGAAGGCAUGAAGACUGUGUUGGGAAAAUUAUCGGAUAAUAAUUUCUUUGAGAGGUUGAGAUGGAAUGUAGACGGUUAGUGUUUAAGAUAACCUUCUUAUUUUUGGGAAAGAGAUUUUCACUAAGGCUUGUGUUUGGAGAUUUCUUAAAGAUUCUUAGAACUCUUUAUGAAAUAUUUUAUCUCUAUUGCUUUGCUUGAUUCUUGGAUGAUUACAAAUGGUGCUAAGCACUCCUAUUUAUACAAGUGAAGGAGUACACUCUAACAUGUUCUAGAUUUCUCUAAAUUAUUAUUUUAUUUCAAAAUAUCUAACUCCAUAACUUUCUCUCUUCUUCUACGCAAUUCUUCUUCUAUACUUCUCCACUUUUCUCUAGAUGUUUCUUCUUCUUGGACUAAGGCUUGAUUAUGAUUUGAUUAGUUUUGGGCUUAAGGAGGGAAAUAUCGGAAAAUCUUGUAUUGUUUCCCGCACACGCAUCGAUCGAUGCGUUUUUGAACAAAUACGGAUCGAUCGAUGCGUUUAAAAAAAGGCUCCCGAGAUUUUGUUCGAUCCAUCGAUGGGAUAAUCUAAUCGAUCGAUCACAUUGUUACGCUUUGGUCCAUCUUAGUGAUCAGUCGAUGCGUUUUCGAACAUAUAUUCAUCGAUCGAUCCGUUUAUAAAAAAACUUACAAGAUUUUCCGAGGACAUUCCGAGGAACGCUUGAGAUUCUCGAUCGAUCGAUGGGAUAAUCUAAUCGAUCGAUCACAUUGUUACGCUUUGGUCCAUCUUAGUGAUCGAUCGAUGCGUUUUUGGAUAUAUAUACAUCGAUCGAUCCGUUUAUAAAAAAAACGUACAAGAUUUUCCGAGAACAUUCCGAGGAACGCUUGAGAUUCUCGAUCGAUCGAUGGGAUAAUCUAAUCGAUCGAUCACAUUGUUACGCUUUGGUCCAUCUUAGUGAUCGAUCGAUGCGUUUUUGGAUAUAUAUACAUCGAUCGAUCCGUUUAUAAAAAAAAGUACGAGAUUUUCCGAGGACAUUCCGAGGAACGCUUGAGAUUCUCGAUCGAUCGAUGGGAUAAUCUAAUCGAUCGAUCACAUUGUUACGCUUUGGUCCAUCUUAGUGAUCGAUCGAUGCGUUUUUGGUAAACAUAUAAUUUCCCUAAUAUUUUUCUAUAAACUGAUGAAGUAGAAUAAUAGAGUUAUUUAACUUCGAACUAAUUACUCAUAGUAGGGAAAAGUCAAGGCCUGGUUAAGACAAGCAAAAACUAGUUAAGACAAGCCCGGCCUGGUUAAGACAAACAAAGACUAGUUUUCUCUUAUUCUCUCACACUCUGUAAACAGUUCCUCUUCUAAUCAAUAAAACUCCUUCGAAACAUCCUACCUUCGAGUUUUGUCACUCAUGGUUGUGAUUUUAUGUCACUGAAAUACCAUUAUGGUUACAAAACAACUCGAGCAAGAAAGAAAGAAAGAAAGGAUUAAAAUCACGAUAAAAGGGUGAUUUGGGGUCGAGAGCGGAAGGUAAGCUCCGGCCAUUGUCACGGGCCACGGCCGUAUAAACAAAUUUUUCAAAAUAGGAGAAAGGUUUGCAAUAUUUUUAUAUUAAACAGUUGGGUAAACGGAUGUAGCAUUUCCUUUCUUAUUAAGCUCAAACAUUUAGGGAUCAUCAUCUCAUAAGUGGAGUCAAACAGUAGAGCGUUCACUUCAUCAUUUUGAAGAAAAGUCGAACAGUUGAGCCUUCACUUCAUCAUUUUGAUCUCCCCUGUUUCUUUCGUUGUCCGGCCCGUCCACUGGUAUGUCACAGUCACACAGUACUUCACUUUAUCAUCCUGGUCCUCCCUCGCCUUUUAACGUCGGCCCCUCCAAUUAUCUGUCUCGACCAUCUACUCUAAAGAUAAAUCAUGCACGACUCAUGUGGAAUAAAGAUAAGGUCGUCUUGACUCAUAACGUCAAUUAUGUAACUCCAGUCUACUAGAGUUAGAAUUUAAGAAUUAUGAUACCAUGUUAAAUGUUAUGGUAUGAACACUAUUUUUAUAAUUAUCAUAAAGUUAAAAGCUCUCUAAUUAUCAUAAUGAGGAAAAAGGCAACUAGCAAAGUAACACUAGAACUUUCAACAGAAAACAACGUAUUAUAAUAGUAUAAGAGCAAUCCCAUUGCUAGUUGUUACCAAAGUAUCUAUUAAUAAUAAAACUAGGAAAAGAAUAGGAAGAGAAAGAAAUUAAUUUUUAUUGGGGCAACUUGAAAAAUACUUUAGAAUAUGUGUCAACUUGUGAUUAGUUUAAUUUUCUUGAUAAAAAAAAAAGAAAAAUUGGAAGAGAAGGAAAUUAUUUUUUAUUGGGGCAACUUGAAAGAUACUUUAGAAUAUGUGUCAACAUGUGAUUAGUUUAAUUUUUUAUAUAUAAAUUAAAACUUAACUAGUAAUACAAUUAGAUAAAACUAUUAGUAUUUUUGUCCAAGUACGUAGAUAAUAAUAGAACUAGGGAAAAAGUGAAGAAAAAAUAGGAAGAAAAAGAAAUGAAGUUUUAUUUGAGAAACCAAAAAAAAAGAGAAAAUAGAAAUACUUUUACAAUAUGUAUCAACCUAUGAUUAGUUAUUUAAAUCAUUGAAACUUUAACUAAUAAUAGAGUUAUAUUAAACUAUUAGUAUUUUUGCCUAUGAGAUAUUUUGGUAGGUCUCUUAGCAGUGGACGUGCAAUAAUAGAGAACGUCUUGUGAUCAAGAGCCAUCAUACAUAUGAAUAUUCCUGGUAAUCACCAACGUCUUGGUCUUUGUGUCCUACAAAACUAAAUGACAAAAACAAAGACGUUGUGAUGCUAAAUGAGUUGGUACAUUGACUUAGUCUAUAGUUAAAUUAUACUAGCAUAGAGGUUGGGCAGUCAAGAGAACAUCUCAACACUAGCUAGAGUUUGGAGGAAGAUAAACAAAUUUAGAGAGAGGUCGAAGAUGAAGGUGCAGCAUCUGAUCUUGGUGGCUACUUUCUUCUACCUUGCAUAUACGGAGCUGGUCAAUGGGCAACCUCGCAAGGACUGCCAAACUAGUUGUGGCAACGUCACAAUUGAGUACCCUUUUGGCACUUCUCCAGGUUGUUACUAUGCCGACGAUCCUAGUUUCAAUAUCACCUGUAACGAGAGAGAAGAGUUGAUCUUUGGUGGUAACAAAGUAAUCAACAUUUCUCACACGGAGCUACGCGUCUGGAAUGAUAUUUCUUACGCUUGCUACGAUAGCGGAGGAAAUGUGACUGAUGGGGUUUCCUACAGUUACUCGCUUGCUAACUUAUCUCUCUCCCGCAACAACAAGUUUACUUUAGUUGGCUAUAACGCUUUUGCACUUCUGAGCACUACUGGAGCGCGAGAUUACUCAACUGGAUGCUUGUCAGCAUGUGACUCUCCACCGGCGGGAAAUGGGGACUGUAAUGGUGAAGGUUGCUGCAGGACCGAUGUCUAUGUCCCUUUGGAUAGCAUUGGAUUCGAAACUCGCCCAUCUGGCUUUGGGAACAUGACUGUUAUGCAUGACUUUAAUCCUUGCAAAUACGCCUUUCUAGCCGAAAAUGGUACUUUUCACUUUAAUGCUUCGGAAGAUCUUAAGAACCUAAGAAAUGUCAAAGAGUUCCCUGUGUUACUGGAUUGGUCUAUUGGAAACCAGAGAUGCGAUCAAGUUGGAAACAGAAGCAUAUGCGGUAUGAAUAACAGCAUAUGUGUCAAUUCUACUCGUGGAACCGGGUAUAACUGCAAAUGUUUAGAAGGUUUUGAGGGGAAUCCUUACCUUUCAAAUGAAAAGGGUUGCCAAGGUACACUUCACGUUAAUUUAUUUUUUCUUUCUAUCGUCUUUCAACGGUUUAGUCGUACAUUUCUUGUUUCAUCCAACGGAUUAUUUACCUGUGUCAGACAUCAAUGAAUGUAUUAGUACUAUCCAUAAACAUAACUGCUCGGAUCCCAGCACCUGUAGAAACAAGGAUGGAGGCUUCUAUUGUAAAUGCAGAUCUGGUUACCGCUUAGAUACAAACACUAUGAGUUGCAAGCGUAAAGACUUUGGAUGGGCU
rnacentral:lncRNA from 1 species